rnacentral:rRNA from 1 species
AUUGAACGCUGGCGGCAGGCCUAACACAUGCAAGUCGAGCGAGCGGCGGACGGGUGAGUAAUGUAUGGGGACUGCCCGAUAGAGGGGGAUCACUACUGGAAACGGUGGCUAAUACCGCAUACUAUCGGAUAACCCAUAUGGGAUUAUCUAGUGGGUGGGGUAAAGGCUCACCUAGGCGACGAUCUCUAGCUGGUCUGAGAGGAUGAUUAGCCAAACUGGGAAUGAGAAACGGCCCAGACUCCUAAGGAGGCAGCAGGGGGGAAUAUUGGACAAAGGGCGCAAGCCUGAUGCAACCAAGGCGCGUGUAUGAAGAAGGGCUUAGGGUUGUAAAGUACUUUCAGCGGGGAGGCGUUACCCGAAGGAGAAGCACCGGCCAACUCCGUGCCAGCAGCCGCGGUAAUUC